AUAUCUAAAUAUAGUACCACAAAAUUGUUGGGAGCAUUCUUUACCAGUACUGCAAAUUUUACUACCCUAUAGAGGAGAUAGACCACCGUAACAUAGCAUAUUGACCAGCAUUAUUUACAAGGGCACUUGCUUGUACAUGUACCAGUCAAGUAACACAAUAAUCAGAGUAGUAGUUUACAGUCAAACUACUUUUUCUAUUAUUAUCUUACCAGUACUGCAAAUUUUACUACCCUAUAGAGGAGAUAGACCACCGUAACAUAGCAUAUUGACCAGCAUUAUUUGCAAGGGCACUUGCUUGUACAUGUACCAGUCAAGUAACACAAUAAUCAGAGUAGUAGUUUACAGCCAAACUACUUUUUCUAUUAUUACCUUGGAGGAUUGUUCAACACAUUUGGCAGCAAAAACAACAAAAGUUAUGCAUUGAAUUCAAAAUGGUAGAGUGACUGAAGUGAUGAGAUUAAAGAAUGCAAAUGAGCAAAAGGAACCAUCAACACCACUAGAACAACAUCUUGUGAAACAGAAAGAAUGAAGUUUUAC